GGGCGAAUGGUUUAGUGGUAUAAUACUCCCUUAGCAUCCGAUCUUGUCUCUUCGAGACUAGGCGACUGCUCACUGGGAGUGGUCCGGGGUUCGAUUCCCCGUUUGUCCA
rnacentral:tRNA from 1 species